rnacentral:rRNA from 1 species
AUUGAACGCUGGCGGCAGGCCUAACACAUGCAAGUCGAACGAGUGGCGGACGGGUGAGUAAUGUCUGGGAAACUGCCCGAUGGAGGGGGAUAACUACUGGAAACGGUAGCUAAUACCGCAUACCAUCGGAUGUGCCCAGAUGGGAUUAGCUAGUAGGUGGGGUAACGGCUCACCUAGGCGACGAUCCCUAGCUGGCCUGAGAGGAUGACCAGCAACACUGGAACGGAGACACGGUCCAGACUCCUACGGGAGGCAGCAGUGGGGAAUAUUGAACAAUGGGCGCAAGCCUGAUGCAGCCAUGCCGCGUGUAUGAAGAAGGCCUUCGGGUUGUAAAGUACUUUCAGCGAGGAGGCGUUACUCGCAGAAGAAGCACCGGAUAAGUCUGUGCCAGCAGCCGCGGUAAUUC